CCCAGACUCCCUGGAGAGUCAGACCAACUCCUACACAGUCAUCAGGAUAAAGAUACAGGGAUGCUACUAGUCCUUAACACACCUUUAGAAGAAGAAGAUAAUGCCUCCUAUUCCAAAGAAGGCAGCCCUGUGGUUGCAGGAUUGGGCAAGUAAUCAGAACUCCCAGCAGAUGCAGGUCUAAAUUAGAGUGGCCUGAUAGGAAGAGGAAAUCCAAGCACAAAAAAGACAAGUUACUUGCCCAAGAUCAUAUAGAAAAAAAGAGAAAACCACUUCUGGCUCAGCCAAAACUAAGUGCAGCAUUAAUUGAGGCACACAGAUUCAUUAAGUCACAAAAUAGCAUGCCACAUGACAGAAAAACAUACAGACUUAACUUUGGUGGCAUGUACAGCAAAUGACUGCAAUAAGCCAGGAGAAGCAGUCAGUGUGGUGCUGCUGGGAUAAAUAUUCAUGGAUGCAAGAUACUAAAACU